rnacentral:rRNA from 1 species
UACGUAGGGUGCAAGCGUUGUCCGGAAUUAUUGGGCGUAAAGAGCUCGUAGGUGGUCUGUCGCGUCUGCCGUGAAAACCCGAGGCUUAACCUCGUGGCUUGCGGUGGAUACGGGCAGACUAGAGGUAGGUAGGGGAGAAUGGAAUUCCCGGUGUAGCGGUGAAAUGCGCAGAUAUCGGGAGGAACACCGGUGGCGAAGGCGGGUCUCUGGGCCGAAAUUGACGCUGAGGAGCGAAAGCGUGGGGAGCAAACAGG